rnacentral:rRNA from 1 species
GGCGCGCCUAACACAUGCAAGUCGAACGAGAGGCUCUUCGGAGUAGUAAAGUGGCGUACGGGUGAGUAAUACAUGGGUAAUCUGCCUUUGAGCGGGGGAUAACCAGCCGAAAGGCUGGCUAAUACCCCAUACGCUUCCGGUCCUUCGGGUAAGGAAGGAAAGCCGCAUCGUGGAUGUGGCACUCGAAGAUGGGCUCAUGGCCUAUCAGCUUGUUGGUGGGGUAACGGCCUACCAAGGCUACGACGGGUAGCUGGUCUGAGAGGACGAUCAGCCACACUGGCACUGAGAUACGGGCCAGACUCCUACGGGAGGCAGCAGUGAGGAAUAUUGCGCAAUGGGCGAAAGCCUGACGCAGCGACGCCGCGUGGGGGAAGAAGGUUUUCGGAUUGUAAACCCCUUUUAGGAGGAAAGAUGGGGUGGUUUUCCACCCGGACGGUACCUCCAGAAAAAGCCACGGCUAACUUCGUGCCAGCAGCCGCGGUAAUAC